AAUGACCACCUUGUGUCAUGUGGCUCAGGUGGGGUGGGUUUGCAGCUGAGGCUGCUGCCCUGGAGUGGGGCGGGGUCUCUCAGUGUCUUCUCACUGGAGACCCUCAGUGGCAGUGGUGAUGUCUGCGGUGACCCUCUGUGGUAGAAGCAGGGGGAUGUGUAUAUGUGUGUAUGUCUGUAUAUAUACGUCUGUCAUAUACACAGACGAGAGAGAUUUUGAGGAAUUGGCCCGUGUGAUUGCACUGUAGGCAACCUCCAGGGAAGAGCUGAUGUUGCAGCCGUCUGGAGGCAGAAUUCCUUCUUCCUUGGGGGACCUCAGUCUUUUCUCUUAAG
rnacentral:lncRNA from 1 species